AAACUGCAGCAGCUCAGGAGCUAAUCCAGGAGCAGCUCACAUCUCCGCUAUAGCAGGGAGAAGACAGUCGACCAUGGCACAGCACCCUGCCCCAAGCCAAGCCACGAGAGAACCAGAGCCCUGUGUGUACAAGCCUAUCACUGGUCUCUUUUUAGGUGACUGCCAGAACGCGAGACUUGGCUGCAUCCCAAGUGGAGAAGAAAGUUAUACUCCACAGCCUUGGAGGGAGAAUCAUAGCAAGGGAACAGCUGUAAACAGGUCCUUGUACAAAUCAUUUUAGUGGCUUGUUUAGGUCAAGACACUGUUAUACAGGGAGAAACUGAGGCAUAGAAAUGCUACAAAAGUUAGAUGAAAUCAGAACGAGGUCCAGAAACUAAACUAGGAGGCCAGUCCUGGACUUUCAGAAUGUGCCAGGAAAGCAAAGGAAGUGCGGGCCAACAAAAGAAAGAGAAAAAAUGCUUUCUACCAGAAACAGAACUUUUGUCAUACUGCCUUUUUAAUACACUGGCAAACUUGGGAAGAAAAAAAAAAUGCUGGUGAUUGUUCCCUUCUCCAACUUUACUUAAGAGCCCAGGGCACUUACUUGAAGAUCAGUGUCUAUAUUUUUUUCCCAAUCUGAAGGAAGCUGAACCAACAUUUCUAACCCGCAGCGCCAGUCUCUCACCAGUGCACAGGAGGUUGUCCUUUCAUGGAAGCACGCUCAUUGCCAUCUUUUGAAUUUUUUUUUUUUUUUUACUUCAUAUGAAAUGAUUCAAGUUCCUUAUUUCCAGAGACCAGAACCUACAUCCCUGUUGCAGAUGCAAUGAGCAGGCUUUUGCUUCACUCCAGUUCUAAUUCUCCAGUUAAUACAGUGAACUUUUAAAUAAGCCUCUGCAAAAGUGGUUGAGAGAACCUCCCCUGAGCAUAUCUCACUGGCCAGGAUGCUCUCCUGGGAUGUGACUGUUGUGUUGAGGAAACUUGACCUUGAGUCAUCUGUAGAUCAAGAAAAUAACUCAAGGAAGAAAGAGUUACACUCAUUCUCUUUUUUUGAGGAGACUAUCUAAUAAGAUACUCAUCUGCAUGUCAUAAAUCAGCAAAAGCAAUAGAAGAAAUGGUGUGGUUUAUGUGUCAUUGGUAAUGAGUCCCUUGUCAAUGAAGACAGCUCUAGAAUAGAGGUGGUUGGGUCAGGAUCUCUAAGAUCACAAAUGAUAGAGCAGGGCUAUACAUGAUAAACAUCUGUUGUCAUACUGCCAUACUGCCACUCACAGUUGCUGAUUUCCUCUUCCUCUUCUUUGUAAAACAUGUAAUUUAUUUCCAUUGGUCCUUGAUGAAAGACAGUAAAGGAGCCUUCGUUGCUGAGUAUGGGCAAGCAUAUAGAUAAGGGCGGGAAACUGCCUAAAUCAAUUUUCAGUGUGUUUUAUCUAAUUUUCCUAUGGAAGUAUCCAAAGAAUUCACUUGUAUGAAUAUUGACAGAGCAGCACACUAUGCACAGCUUUUUCUGUGUAAAGCCAUUUCUCUCUAAUAAGAGAAAAUGCUCACUUUUAGACUUGUAGGAUAUAGGCAGCUUAAAAGUUUGUUUUAAUCAGGCUUAUAUUUGUAGUUUAAGAAGACAAUGCUUUUUUUGGUCUCAUAUGUGUGAAUAAUAAAGCAUACAAAAUUACAGUCCCA
rnacentral:lncRNA from 1 species